ensembl:rRNA 5S_rRNA 5S ribosomal RNA
UUCUACGGCCAUACCACCUUGAACCCUCCUGAUCUGGUCAGAUCUUGGAAGCUAAGUAGGGUGGGGCCUGGUUAGUACUUGGAUGGGAGCUCCAAUUUUUCAGUCCACAGGGUCACUAAAUGGA